GAGACAGGUUGGUCCCUAUCUACCGCAGACGUGGAGUUUUGAGAGGAGUCGUCCUUAGUACGAGAGGACCAGGACGAACUGACCUCUGGUGUACCAGCUGUUCCGCCAGGAGCAUUGCUGGGUAGCUAUGUCGGGUUUUGAUAAGCGCUGAAAGCAUCUAAGCGCGAAGCAGACCUCAAGAUUAGAACUCAUAGAUUCCUCAGAGAACAUGAGGUUAAUAGGCUGUAGGUGUAAGUCCGGUAACGGAUUAAGCCGAGCAGUACUAAUAAAUCAUACUUU
rnacentral:rRNA from 1 species